UUACCUAAUUUUGUGGCAUCUACAAAAAAUGACAACUUUCAAAGCCUAUUGCAUGAUUAAUAGAUAGGUUGAAGAUGCGUGUGUGUACCCAGGACAGACCUCUGAAGGACUCCACUGACCAUCUUUAUACAGCGUGAACAUUUCCCAAUAAUACUCUCUCUACUCUAUCUUCAAGCCAGUUUGCAAUCCAUAACCAAGAAUCAGCAUAUAAACUCUAUGCUUAAAAUUUCUACAGUAAC